rnacentral:rRNA from 1 species
ACAAUGGGCGAAAGCCUGAUCCAGCCAUGCCGCGUGAGUGAUGAAGGCCCUAGGGUUGUAAAGCUCUUUCAACGGUGAAGAUAAUGACGGUAACCGUAGAAGAAGCCCCGGCUAACUUCGUGCCAGCAGCCGCGGUAAUACGAAGGGGGCUAGCGUUGUUCGGAAUUACUGGGCGUAAAGCGCACGUAGGCGGAUUGUUAAGUUAGGGGUGAAAUCCCAGGGCUCAACCCUGGAACUGCCUUUAAUACUGGCAAUCUCGAGUCCGAGAGAGGUGAGUGGAAUUCCGAGUGUAGAGGUGAAAUUCGUAGAUAUUCGGAGGAACACCAGUGGCGAAGGCGGCUCACUGGCUCGGUACUGACGCUGA